rnacentral:rRNA from 1 species
GACGUAGGGUGCGAGCGUUGUCCGGAUUUAUUGGGCGUAAAGAGCUCGUAGGCGGCUCGUCGCGUCAGCUGUGAAAACCCGCGGCUUAACCGCGGGCUUGCAGCUGAUACGGGCGGGCUAGAGUUUGGUAGGGGAGACUGGAAUUCCUGGUGUAGCGGUGAAAUGCGCAGAUAUCAGGAGGAACACCGGUGGCGAAGGCGGGUCUCUGGGCCGUAACUGACGCUGAGGAGCGAAAGCGUGGGGAGCGAACAGG